UAGGUUGGUGUAAAAGUAAUUGCGGUUUUUGCUAUGACUUUCAAUGGCAAAAACUGCAAUUACUUUUGCACCAACCUAAUAUUUUA
ensembl:miRNA